rnacentral:lncRNA from 1 species
UUCGACCACCGAUCUCUUCUCAGGGAGCUGGUCCAAGCACCGCGCCGAUUAUCGUGGAGUCUUCUUCAUCUGAUGAACCCAUGGUGCAGGCUCCUGAGCAAGGCACGACGGCUUUACAGGUGCAACAUGAGGAAAUUCGCUUCAAAACGGUAAGUUUCUGUCUCGGCUUCCAGCCGAUUUGUUCUCAUUCCCCGCCGAUUUAUCCUUUUUCCUUAUUUUCUUUAGGAACAGGAUACCCCCGACAACAGCCUCUUUUCCUUUGCGGUUGCUCUUUCCGAUGACGAAGAAGUCGCUUCCCGCCAAGUCGCCCUGAGCUCCGUUCCUGAUGACGUCCGAGCUAAACUUUCCACUAUCCGAUCCCUCCUUCAGGGGGACAUCGGCCAACUAGUAGAAGAUGCUUCGCCGAUUCGGCAGCUCUUCAGUGACGUCAGCGGACGAGUGCCAGAGGAAGCGGAGGAGGCCCUGGCGCCGGCGGCCUUCAUCGAGUCCAUGAGAAUCCCAG